AGUGAACGCUGGCGGUAGGCCUAACACAUGCAAGUCGAACGACCGCACAGUAAGCUUUUGCCCUUACGGGUGGCGACUGACGGACGGGUGAGACAUACAUCAGAAUCUACUUUUUCGUGGAGGAUAACGUGAGGCCAGUUCCGCUACUACCGCAUACGACCAACGGGUUGAAUCAGGAGAUCUUCGCACCUUGCGCGACUGUAUUAGCCGGAGUCGGAUUAGCUAGUCGGCGGGGUAAGGGCCCACCAAGGCGACGAUCCGUAGCUGAGCUGAGAGGAUGAUCAGCCACACUGGAACUGAGACACGGUCCAGACUCCUACGGGAGGCAGCAGUGGGGAAUAUUGGACAAUGGGCGCAAGCCUGAUCCAGCCACACCGCGUGAGUGAAGAAGGCCUUCGGGUUGUAAAGCCCUUUUGUUGGGAAAGAAAAGCAGCAGGUGAAUACCCCGCUGUUUUGACGGUACCCAAAGAAUAAGCACCGGCUAACUUCGUG
rnacentral:rRNA from 1 species